AGAUACUGAUGUGAAAGACAGAUUGCAGGUCUAUUAGCUCAAGCACAGCAUGGAUCUGGGACUCUCACAAGUUUCUGAAAGCAGGGAUUUGAGAACUUGUCUGUUACAAGGCAGGGUCAAGAUUAACUUGGAGGUCUCAUUGUGUUUCUUGGAAUAACACAAGAGGCUUUGGAUACAUUCAUAACUUGCCCAGACAAGGCUCUGAACAGCCUGACCAAAGCUGUCUGGUGUCAGAAGAGGGGACAGGCUGCACCAGAUGACCUCCAGAAGCGCCCUCCUGCACGCUUUGACCUGUAAGUCUGAUGCUACCAACUCCUCAACCUA